AAACUUGCCCCGAGAUGAGUUCUCCCUGAGACUUAGAGUCUCCUGAAGGAACGUUGAAGACGACGACGUUGAUAGGCCGGGUGUGUAAGCGCAGCGAUGCGUUGAGCUAACCGGUACUAAUGAACCGUGAGGCUUAACCUU
rnacentral:rRNA from 1 species